UACGGAGGGUGCGAGCGUUGUCCGGAAUCACUGGGCGUAAAGGGCGCGUAGGCGGUGCGAGAAGCGUGUGGUGAAAGGCCGGGGCUCAACUCCGGCUCGGCCGUGCGGACUCUCGCGCUUGAGGAGUGCUGUAGAGGCGGGCGGAAUUCCGGGUGUAGCGGUGGAAUGCGUAGAGAUCCGGAAGAACACCGGUGGCGAAGGCGGCCCGCUGGGCAGUGACUGACGCUGAGGCGCGACAGCGUGGGGAGCAAACAGG
rnacentral:rRNA from 1 species